UACGUAGGUGGCGAGCGUUGUCCGGAUUUACUGGGCGUAAAGAGCGCGCAGGCGGCUGGUCAAGUCCGAUGUGAAAGCUCCCGGCUUAACUGGGAAAUUGCAUCGGAAACUGAUCGGCUGGAAGGUGGGAGAGGGUAGCGGAAUUCCACGUGUAGCAGUGAAAUGCGUAGAGAUGUGGAGGAACACCGAUGGCGAAGGCAGCCCCCUGGGCUAACACUGACGCUCAUGCACGAAAGCGUGGGGAGCAAACAGG
rnacentral:rRNA from 1 species